UACGGGGGGGGCAAGCGUUGUUCGGAAUUACUGGGCGUAAAGGGCUCGUAGGCGGCCAACUAAGUCGGACGUGAAAUCCCUCGGCUUAACCGGGGAACUGCGUCCGAUACUGGAUGGCUCGAGUUCGGGAGAGGGAUGCGGAAUUCCAGGUGUAGCGGUGAAAUGCGCAGAUAUCAGGAGGAACACCGGUGGCGAAGGCGGAUCUCUGGGCCAUUACUGACGCUGAGGAGCGAAAGCGUGGGGAGCGAACAGG
rnacentral:rRNA from 1 species